rnacentral:lncRNA from 1 species
UCACCAAUCUACUAGGCUUUGAAUUUCAUGGUAAUGUUUUGUUUUUGAGUGCAUACAAGCAUGAUUCCGCCUUUUAAUUGUUAAUUGCAUGCUAUAUGAUGUUGCUCAAAUGAACAUGUUUUUCAAAAUAAAUCCUUCAGUCCUUUGACCUGAGGCAUCGUCGUUGUCUUGUGGCUAAGUACUUAAUCUUUGAUUAUGUCAAAGUC